UACGGAGGGGGCUAGCGUUGUUCGGAAUUACUGGGCGUAAAGCGCACGUAGGCGGCUUUGUAAGUUAGAGGUGAAAGCCCGGGGCUCAACCCCGGAAUUGCCUUUAAGACUGCAUCGCUAGAAUUGUGGAGAGGUGAGUGGAAUUCCGAGUGUAGAGGUGAAAUUCGUAGAUAUUCGGAAGAACACCAGUGGCGAAGGCGACUCACUGGACACAUAUUGACGCUGAGGCGCGAAAGCUAGGGUAGCAAACGGG
rnacentral:rRNA from 1 species